rnacentral:lncRNA from 1 species
GUUUAUACUGGGUACAAAGAGACCUUGUGUUGCUUCUGCACAGUGAGCCCAGUGACAAAUAGCAGUAUCUUCCACUGUUGCAUAUCUCAUCUUUUUCAGUGCUCCAGUGGGAUGGCAGAAGAAGCUGCAGGAGGAGAGGAAAACAGGAAGAAUCCUUGGUGGUGUUCAGAGCCAAGGAAAGAAAGCAGGACAAUUGCUCUGAGUCAUGACUGAUGCAAUCUGGAUACUGCAAGGUUCUCUUCUGCUCCUCUGAAGCUCCAAAACUUUGUGCUUAGAGCGGCAGAGCCAGAGGUCAGCAGCACCACGGGGCCAGGUGAUGCUUGCAGUGCUCAUCCCCUGGCUGUUGCAGCUGCAUCCUGUGCAUCACUGAGAGGCAAUGUCAGCGGGAAGGUGAGCAGAGAGAGAGAAGGUGGAAACUCUCCGGCUUCUCACAAGUCCCACAGAGCAUCAUUUGUGGACAAACAUGUCUGAGUUGCCUCUUACUACCUUGUUAUUUGUGUACUAUCAUUAACUCUUUAUUUUAAAUAUUAAAGAUAUUUUCUCCUAGAAAUAUGGUGUUGGUUCAAAUAUUUGGUAGGUAUUUCUGAACUGCAUUUGCAAUUUGCAACACUUCAGGCUGUGUCUUACCACUUCAUUGAAACAGCAGAACUGAAAUAAGUGCUUAUAUGGCUAAUCAACACAAUCUUCCCUAAACUUGUAAACGAUGUACGCAGCCCUCUCCUCCUACUUCAGGAAGCUGUAAGAAGUGGUAUGGGCAAAUAGCUGGUCUCUGCUUCUCUUCGUAGGCAGGAGACGUGGCAGGAGGUCUGCCACAUAGGCACACCACAUGGCAAGUACUGUUCACGUACUCAGCUCUGGCUCCUGAUGCUCAACAAAAGCCAAGCAGUGCUGAGCUUCCUGCC